rnacentral:rRNA from 1 species
UCAGGCCUAACACAUGCAAGUCGAACGAAGUAGCAAUACUUAGUGGCAGACGGGUGAGUAACAUGUAGGUAUCUACCCUUUGGCCUGGAAUAACACGAGGAAACUUGUGCUAAUACCGGAUAAGUCUUUACGGAGAAAGCUUUAUGCACCAUUGGAUGAGCCUGCACUUGAUUAGUUUGUUGGUGGGGUAAUGGCCUACCAAGACUGUGAUCAAUAGCUGAUUUGAGAGGAUGAUCAGCCACAUUGGGACUGAGACACGGCCCAAACUCCUACGGGAGGCAGCAGUGGGGAAUCUUGCACAAUGGAGGAAACUCUGAUGCAGCGAUGCCGCGUGAGUGAAGAAGGCCUUUGGGUUGUAAAGCUCUUUCGUCGGGGAAGAAAAUGACUGUACCCGAAUAAGAAGGUCCGGCUAACUUCGUGCCAGCAGCCGCGGUAAUACGAAGGGACCUAGCGUAGUUCGGAAUUACUGGGCUUAAAGAGUUCGUAGGUGGUUGAAAAAGUUAGUGGUGAAAUCCCAGAGCUUAACUCUGGAACUGCCAUUAAAACUUUUCAGCUAGAGUAUGAUAGAGGAAAGCAGAAUUUCUAGUGUAGAGGUGAAAUUCGUAGAUAUUAGAAAGAAUACCAAUUGCGAAGGCAGCUUUCUGGAUCACUACUGACACUGUGGAACGAAAGCAUGGGUAGCGAAGAGGAUUAGAUACCC